AACGAACGCUGGCGGCAGGCCUAACACAUGCAAGUCGAACGCCCUUUUAGGGAGUGGCGCACGGGUGCGUAACGCGUGGGAAUAUACACAUAGGUAAGGAAUAACUGCUGGAAACGGUAGCUAAUACCUUAUAAUGACUCCGGUCCAAAGAUUUAUCGCCUAUGGAUUAGCCCGCGUCAGAUUAGCUUGUUGGUGAGGUAAAAGCUCACCAAGGCGACGAUCUGUAGGGGGUCUGAGAGGAUGAUCCCCCACACUGGUACUGAGACACGGACCAGACUCCUACGGGAGGCAGCAGUGAGGAAUAUUGGACAAUGGGGGCAACCCUGAUCCAGCCAUGCCGCGUGUAUGAAGAAGGCCUUAGGGUUGUAAAGUACUUUCAAACGUGAAGAUAAUGACGGUAGCGUUAGAAGAAGCUCCGGCUAAAUUCGUGCCAGCAGCCGCGGUAAUACGAAUGGAGCAAGCGUUGUUCGGAAUAACUGGGCUUAAAGCGUAUGUAGGCGGACUGUAAAGUCAGGAGUGAAAUCCCGGAGCUCAACUCCGGAACUGCUCUUGAAACUCACAGUCUAGAAUACUGGAGAGGUUGGGAGAAUUCCUAGUGUAGAGGUGAAAUUCGCAGAUAUUAGGAGGAAUACCAGUGGCGUANGCGCCCAACUGGACAGUUAUUGACGCUCAGAUACGAAAGCGUGGGGAGCAAACAGGAUUAGAUACCCUGGUAGUCCACGCCGUAAACGAUGAGUGCUAGGUGUAGAGGGUAUCGACCCCUUCUGUGCCGGANUUAACACAAUAAGCACUCCGCCUGGGGANUACGGUCGCAAGACUG
rnacentral:rRNA from 1 species